rnacentral:lncRNA from 11 species
AGCCGAUUGGACACAGGGGAACCCAAGACCACACUUUUAUGAUUGUGCAGGUCCCUAAGGGCCCUUGGGAAUUUCUUUCGGCGGUGUUCGUCAGCUCUAGUGCACUGCAAGACGGCUGAAGGUGCUGUAUUUUUCCUCUCAUUCUGUUAUACUAUUGUCCAGUGCUC